AGGGCACCACCAGGAGUGGAGCCUGCGGCUUAAUUUGACUCAACACGGGAAAACUCACCCGGCCCGGACACUGGAAGGAUUGACAGAUUGAGAGCUCUUUCUUGAUUCAGUGGGUGGUGGUGCAUGGCCGUUCUUAGUUGGUGGAGUGAUUUGUCUGGUUAAUUCCGAUAACGAACGAGACUCUAGCCUACUAAAUAGUCGCAGGCGUUCUCGUACCGCCCGUCGGCUUCUUAGAGGGACAGGCGGCGUCUUAGCCGCAUGAGAAAGAGCAAUAACAGGUCUGUGAUGCCCUUAGAUGUCCGGGGCUGCACGCGCGCUACACUGAAAUAAUCUGCGCGCAUGCAGCCCCCUACCCCGAAAAAGGCGGGAAAACCAGAGUGCAUUUUUUUUGUGUGUGGGAGUGAGAAUUGUAAAUAUUUUCCAUGAACGAGGAAUUCCCAGUAAGCACAACUCAUGAUCGUGUGUUGAUUACGUCCCUGCCCUUUGUACACACCGCCUCUCUCUACUACAGAUUGGGAU
rnacentral:rRNA from 1 species